GCAUCUGUUGGUCCUUUGCCGGUUAGGAUCACUAGGUAGGGUCUACUCAAUACACAUUCUCGGAUAAUGGUUGCGGGUUUCUCUCGUCACUCACUUAAAGAAAGGGUAAUUGUGCUAAGGGAGAUUGCAUUUUUGGAGGUGUUAAAUUUGUAGUCUGUUAUUGGGCACCUGUUCUUCACACGUCGAUUGAAUGUGAUCUUUAUGUGUUAGCCAAAAGCGAGAGGGACAGCGAGUAGAAUUUAUCAACCACAGAGAGGAUUACAAUUUCUUCUUUAUUGUUUUAUGGUGGCGUUGAAGUUUGAUUCAGGGAGAUUGCGUCUUUUCUGCUAAAACUGAAGGAAUGGGUACUUGCAUCUAAAAUGAUUAUGUUUUGUGACAGCCCUAAUAGUGACCUUUUUAGCUCUGCCCCAGUGCCAUUAGUUUGGAGAAGGUAUGAAGGUGCGAUCAUCGGUGAAGAAAAUGUGUUCUUUCUGCCGCACAAUCAGGCGACACGGGGUAGUGUAUGUGAUAUGCUCGGCUAAUCCCAAACACAAGCAGCGACAGGGCUUUAUAGCAUAUGCAUACGAAGGACCUAUAUCCACCAUGUCUCUGGUGAUAACUCCAAAACAGGAGAAGACGCCUCUCGGCUUUGGUAUCAGCAGUAGUUCCUCGCCUUCUCUUAUAUCCGAAAACGGUGAGGCAUCUGUGAAUCCAUGGCGGAGAAAGGGUAUGGCUCCCAUUAAUCUGCUCAACCCAGCCGCUAAGCAGUCGAUUCUGCGAGCAUUAUAAGCUGGCUACUCCAUGUUUAUCACACACAAAGAUGCCAUAUAUUAUGCAUUGUCUGAGAGCAGCAGUUGUAACUUACCAACUGGAAAACAUCAUGUUUAACACUUGUUUUCUGUGAUAUGUUGGAAUCAUGAUCUGUUAUUCAUUGCA